GUUUGUACCACGACAGUGACUCAAGCCAACUGAAGAUCUCAAAAGAGAGAGAGAAGGAAAGAAGGAGAGCAGGCCUCAGGUACUCUUUCAUAGCAACACAAAUGGAUUAACAGAAAGUUGGUACCAAGAGGUGGGUUAUCUCUAUAAAGUCACCUGAAGAUGUAGAAGCAGCUUUGGAACUGGGAAAUGGACAGAGUUUGGAAAAGUUUGGGAAUCUCAGAAGAAGACAGGAAAAUAAGAGUACCAAAGACGUGAACUUAAAACCACAACCUGGAUCUUUCUCUUUGUCAAUCUUGAUGAUCACAAAUAUUCACGAGUUCCCACAUCACAAGAAAACUAACGUUUUGAAUUGCUCUCAUCACCUCGAUGUUUAUAUUUAUGAUGUUUGAAGUUGCCUCUUCAUAUAAAUGUGCCAUGGGAAAUGAUUACCAUUCUUUAAUUUACCCUUUAGUUUUUGUUUUGGUUAUCCUGGUAAAUAUUGUCAUAUUGCUAUCGGUUUAGAACUACAGUUUAUGUGAUUGAGGUUUCAAUAUAAUAUUGUCAUUUAUACAUUUCUGUUGAAGAGAGUUGCCUCAGUUACUCAUAAAUUUAGCUGCUGGCUGGAAACAUUUUUCUGAAAAGAAGGAUUUAAAAGAAACUAGAAUUUAGCCUCGAACAAUCUGGGUGUCUGGAGUGCUAAACUCCUGUGUAGUUGAAAACCUGCAUACAGUUUUUUAUUUUUAAAGAGUUUAAUUACAAACAGCCUACUAUUGAGAAGAAGGCUUAAUUUCAUAAACAGUUAAUUAACACAUGUUUUAUAUGUUAUAUUGAUAUGUAUUACAUACUGUAUUCUUACAGUAAAAUUAGCUAAGGAAAAUAAAGUGCUUUUAACAAUCA
rnacentral:lncRNA from 13 species